rnacentral:tRNA from 1 species
UGGCUGAGCGGUAAAGCGUUUGACUUCCGAACCGAGGGUCCCGGGUUCGAAUCCUGG